AAAUUUCAUUUUUAUAACCCAAAUAAUAAAAACUGAAACAUAAUUAAAACCAAUAAUCAGAUUAAUGUUUUUGGAUAUUAGGGUUUCACCCUAACCUCGUCCUCCUUUAUUUUUUUUUUCUUUUCGCCGUCAACCACUCCUUCAUCUUCCCAUGGCCGAAAUCAGUGAUGUUAGUGACGAUCCCAGACGAAAAAUAGUUGAUAAGGCUUUCUUUGAUGGCCAGCCGUUUCCACCGCCAUCAUUAGUGUGUUCCCGUUACAGCGUUCUCGUUACGCCGUUGUAUGAUUUGGUUUUUGACGGUGACAGCUCCGUUGAGCAUAUCUAGAUCGAAACGCAAGUUGCGAAGAAACGGUGUGGCGGUGCUUCUACUUCGGCGAUUUCUACGGAAAAGAAUGAAAGAGACAAAGAGAAGAAGAAAUCGUGUUUUUUUUGUCUCUCGGAUCCGGAUAUCCGGCGAAUAUCCGAGUUUUUUAACGGAUCUCCGAAAACCGGAUAUCCGAAUAAACGGAUCCGGAUUCGGAUAUCAAAACUAUGAAUCCGCCGGAUACGGAUCCGGAUCCGGAUACACUCAAUUUUGCCGAAUAUCCGGCUCCGUCUCAGGGCUAGCUGCUGGUAAGAAGUUUAGGUGGCCAGAACUAGUUGGAGAGAGUAAGGAAAUAGCGAUAAUAACGAUCGAAAGAGAAAAUCCAAAUGUGUUAGUGAUUGUCCAUUGAGCAGGAGACGGGUGGAUUGACAGGGUCUUUGUGAGUUUAGAUAUCAAUGGCAUUGUUUCAAGAACUCCUAAGAUAGGUUGAUUUUUUUUUUUGAAAAAAUUUUCUAUAUGUUUUACCAUUAUUGGUAAUAAAAAAUAUUACUAAAUAUAAUCAUCAAUAAUACAUCACACCAUUUCUGUAAA